rnacentral:rRNA from 1 species
UACGUAGGGACCGAGCGUUGUCCGGAUUCAUUGGGCGUAAAGAGCUCGUAGGCGGCUGCUCAAGUCGAAUGUGAAAACUCGAGGCUCAACCUCGAGCCUGCAUUCGAUACUGGGCGGCUAGAGUCUGGUAGGGGGAUCUGGAAUUCCUGGUGUAGCGGUGGAAUGCGCAGAUAUCAGGAGGAACACCGGUGGCGAAGGCGGGAUCCUGGGCAGUAACUGACGCUGAGGAGCGAAAGCGUGGGGAGCGAACAGG